AUUGAACGCUGGCGGCAGGCCUAACACAUGCAAGUCGAGCGGAUGAAGGGAGCUUGCUCCUGGAUUCAGCGGCGGACGGGUGAGUAAUGCCUAGGAAUCUGCCUGGUAGUGGGGGAUAACGUCCGGAAACGGGCGCUAAUACCGCAUACGUCCUGAGGGAGAAAGUGGGGGAUCUUCGGACCUCACGCUAUCAGAUGAGCCUAGGUCGGAUUAGCUAGUUGGUGGGGUAAAGGCCUACCAAGGCGACGAUCCGUAACUGGUCUGAGAGGAUGAUCAGUCACACUGGAACUGAGACACGGUCCAGACUCCUACGGGAGGCAGCAGUGGGGAAUAUUGGACAAUGGGCGAAAGCCUGAUCCAGCCAUGCCGCGUGUGUGAAGAAGGUCUUCGGAUUGUAAAGCACUUUAAGUUUGGAGGAAGGGCAGUAAGUUCAUACCUUGCUGUUUUGACGUUACCAACAGAAUAAGCACCGGCUAACUUCGUG
rnacentral:rRNA from 1 species